AGCCUAAUGCCACGUCAACGGUAGCGGAAUGCAUUGACCGGUGAUGCUAUGAUUAGGCUGAAAUCAAAUCAUUAUCUGAUGUUUCGCAUACUGAUAGGAAUCUGUGUCUCAUACUUGCUAUUGGUUCACAGAGCCGAUAAAUGCGAUUACAUCU